rnacentral:rRNA from 1 species
UACGGAGGGUGCGAGCGUUGUCCGGAUUUAUUGGGUUUAAAGGGUGCGUAGGUGGCUUGAUAAGUCAGUGGUGAAAUACAGCCGCUCAACGGUUGAGGUGCCAUUGAUACUGUCAAGCUUGAAAGAAUUGGAGGCUGCCGGAAUGGAUGGUGUAGCGGUGAAAUGCAUAGAUAUCAUCCAGAACACCGAUUGCGAAGGCAGGUGGCUACGAUUGAUUUGACACUGAGGCACGAAAGCAUGGGGAGCAAACAGG